CCCUCACAGCCUUCCACCGCCAGCGACACUCGACGCUGCGGCCAUUGCCGGCUCCCCCAACCCCUGCUACCACGGCGCCGUUGGGAAUCCUCCCCGCCACCUGUUGGAACCGCCCGCCUGGCUCCCGCUGCGAACAUCACCGCCACCUCUCUGUCGAUUCCCACCCCAGCGGAUGGUCCCCUCACCUGCGCUCGCAUCCUCAGACUUUGACCAAAAACAAGCCGGGAUCCGAUAGUGCCCCACAGUUUGCCGGAGUUUCAUCGGCCGGUUCUACGCUUCAGGUAUGUGGACAAGGAGGCUUGAAAUCAUGGUCUUUGUUCUCUGGCAACCUGCAGUUCAUUGGUGACAAAUUGAUUUUUGUUGCAAUGGUUGCUAAAUCCUACGAGGGCCUACAGGAUUUGCAGUAAAAGUGACGUCAUCUAUUUGUCUGCAUAUAUACAAUGGAAGAAAAAUCCGGAGGAAAAAUCUUUAAGGCCGGCAGGGAAAUUAAUUAAUCAGCGGCAUCCAUGCUUGGAUUUAAUUUUGGGUCAACAUUGGAUUGCUUAUCUCUGGUUUUUGUCUUCGGUGGCUGAACAACGCAUCUCCUCCUGUCAUCGUGUUGCUCUCUGCUCUCUGUCAUAUUCUCUUAUUUUUGUUGUGCUACAUGUGCAGGUGUUUGAGGCAGGAAGGGUGAUUAGAAUCGAUGAGGAGCAGCAAGAAGCAGCAACCAUUGCCGGCCUAGCUACUUAUAGGGACAACCAGACGGUGUAUUAGUGUCUCGAUCUAAUUCAUUUAACCACACAUAUCAUCCAUGGAUUGGAGAGAGUGAGAGGCCCAAGAUAAUCCACUUGAUAUUGCAGGUAUAAUGGUGCAAUUCACACAAAUGAACAAGCUUAACAAGAUUGUGUGCAAGGUACUCAAAUGAUUUGAAUUUCAAGCUCUUCUUUUUUCUUGGUUACCAGUCUGUAGUAGAUGAUAAAUAUUGGUGCUCACUUCCUCUGCUAUAAUCAGAUUUUACAGAAAACUAAUAGCUGGUUUCAUUGAACAGAUCUUGCAUGGUUUGCUGCUUAUCUAAUAGUUAGUUUGGUAUGUCUUUGAGAAACAGUAGGCAUUCUUACUAGAUGUAUUUUAUUUUUGUGUUUUUGAUAAUGUACACAACCAUGACAUUUUUCUAGAAUAUUGUUGCUUUCACAAUAAUAAGUUUGAUAACGUUCAUAACCAUGGCAUUCUUACUAUGAUGCAGCAAUGCGCAGCUAGCUAGGUGUAGCUAAUACAAUAAGUUUGCUUUUCACUUCAGAAUUCAGAGGAACUCAACGUUUGUUUUAUAGUUCAAACCAAUUACUGGUAUAUUCCAAAAUGAUAUUGUCUCGUGGUACUAGGUUAUCAAAAUAUAAUCUUCACCAUGGCCAAAGGUAAAUUUCAUUCAGGGUAUUAGUUUGUUUCAUCCACCAAGACAAACAACUGGUGGUAUAUGGCGAUGAGAUGGGCUUCUUCAGCUCUUUAUUUGGCAGUUCUCUUCUCGAUUCCCCUCUCUGUUGUGAUGAAAUUUCAGCAACACAAAUUUGUGGUCUUGUCAGGUAAUCAUGCUGAUUGAGAAAGAAAUGGUACCCCGGGACUAUGUAUUGUACUAAUAUUCAGAAAAAUGUAUGUUUGUA